CGCCCCCUUGCCCACGUGAUUCGCGGUCCUCCCUCCUAGAGGUGAAGUCUGUUUCCUUCACCCACUCAAACUUGGAUUGGGCCACGUGACUUUCUUUGCCCAGCGGAAUGCUAAAAAUGGUGCCUGUCUCGGUCACUUUUCCCCUGGCGGGCAAAAUACCAAACACUUGAAAUUUUAAGGAAGAGAGGUUUAUUUUGGCCCAGGUUCUGUCCAGGGCCUGUUGUCUCCAAAGAAGGAGCAGCAAGGCGCAGAGGUGUGGUGGAGGAAAGCUGCUUGCUGGGUGUGGGGUGGACAGAAAGCAGAGUCCAGGGAGCAGCCGGGAGGGAACUAAACCACUCCCCACUCCCGUGAGCCGCCUGUUGCCAUCAGCAGCCAGCUGUGGAAGCGCGCUCUCUUGCUGCUGAGACUCUGUUCUCCACCUUGUAAACCAAGCCCAACUCGGCCUCCUGAAGGGGGAAAGAACAUGAAGAUACUGAUUGUUCUGAAUCUCGCGUCAUCAGUUCACAAGACACCUGUGGUCUAUUGCCCAGCAAACCUCCAUCCCCGUUCUUCUCCAGAGAGCUCGUCACUCACAUCCACAGUGUUCUGAGAGAAGCCCUCUGCACAACCCAGCCCUACACCCUGGCCACAGUGUGCCCUGGUGGAGGGCAUCUGACUCAGGGGAACAGAGGCCUCAAUCUGCAGUCAAAGAAAAGAAAGAUGCUCAGAAAGGAACAGAGAAGAGAUGCAGACCAUAACAAAGACAACUGCUGUCUCAGCUGCUGCUGGCUACCAUCUCACCACCGUGAAAAACAGCAAGCCUGGGGACAAAAGCUGAGAUGAUGAGGAGGACAAAGCCAGGAGAAAGAGAAAAGGAGCCAGCACCCCCUCCACUGUCCCAUGGCCUUGCUGUAUGGGCUGGGUCUUUUCCUGUGUGAGAUAAGAUAGUAAAUUCCCCAACUGUUUCAGUCACUUUGAGGGUCUCCCUUUUUUUUCACAUGCAACCCAGACUCCUCAUCUUCAUCAUCAAACAUUUAGUUCAUAUCUCUUUUAUUAAGGUUUUUAAACUUUAAUUGAAAUGCUCAAUUUUAGAAUAUCUGACUCUUUUAAAAUUCUGUCUUUUUAAAAUAAUAUCCUACUCUUGCCUCAUGGAUUCUUUCAUUUCUGUCCUUGAAUAUUAAUGUGGGUUGUGAGCACAAUAAUAAUCUUUGGUUUGUUAUUGUUGUUGUUUUUGUUGUUUGUUUUCUGAGACAGGGUCUCCCUAUGUAGUUCAACCUGGCCUUGAGCUCUUGAACUUGCAGUGAUCCUCCUGUCUCAGCCUCCUGAGUGCUAGGAUUACAGGUAUGUGCCACCAUGCCCAGCUCAAUAAUAAUCUUAAAUAGCAACAGCAUAGAAAAAAGAAUAUACCUCAAGUAUGUUUGUUGACAAUUUAAACUAUCAUGAACUAAAGUGCAGUUGAUUUUUUCUUUUGCUACCCAGCCACACCCUUCCUAUUUGGGCAAGAUCUUCCAUUGACUGCCUUGGUGAGAGUCAUAUUCCAGCUUUCUACUAUGAAAACCUCAAGUUUACACAUUCUACCCUCCCCUCUGUGUCAGGCAACAGAUGGAGAGGAAUACAAUGUAGGCUUAGCUAAUCAGGUUCUCUCACAGGAACUGGAAAUCACUUUUUAUUAUUAUUGUUUUGUAUUUUGAGGCAGGGUCUUGCUAUGUAACCCAGAGUGGCUUCAAACUCUCAAUUUUGCCUCAGCCUCCCGAGUGCUAUUACAGGCAUGCCCCGUCUAACCCCCUUGGGAACUUCAGAUCUUGAGUGAGCGAUGACCCAAGGACAGUUGGAAUCUUCUUUCUUUUUUUUUUUUGGUAUCGGGGAUCGAACUCGGGUCCUUGCACUUGUGAGGCAGGCAGAGGAACCACUGAGCUAAAUCCCUAGCCCCUUUCUUUCUUUCUAACAGUAUUGGUGAUUGAA